CCUACGGGAGGCAGCAGUGAGGAAUAUUGGUCAAUGGGCGCGAGCCUGAACCAGCCAAGCAGCGUGAAGGAUGAAUGCGCUAAGGGUUGUAAACUUCUUUUGUAAAGGAAUAAAGUGAGGCACGUGUGCCUUUGUGAAUGUACUUUAUGAAUAAGGAUCGGCUAACUCCGUGCCAGCAGCCGCGGUAAUACGGAGGAUCCGAGCGUUAUCCGGAUUUAUUGGGUUUAAAGGGAGCGUAGAUGGGUUGUUAAGUCAGUUGUUAAAGUUAGCGGCUCAACCGUCAGCGUGCAGUUGAUACUGGCAGCCUUGAGUACGCUAGAGGUAGGCGGAAUGCGCGGUGUAGCGGGGAAAUGCAUAGAUAUCGCGCAGAACUCCGAUUGCGAAGGCAGCCUACUAGCCUGCCACUGACAUUGAUGCUCGAAAGUGUGGGUAUCAAACAGGAUUAGAUACCCUUGUAGUC
rnacentral:rRNA from 1 species